rnacentral:rRNA from 1 species
GAUGAACGCUAGCUACAGGCUUAACACAUGCAAGUCGAGGGGCAGCGCAGUGUAGCAAUACAUGGGCGGCGACCGGCGCACGGGUGCGUAACGCGUAUCCAACCUUCCCGUUACUCAGGGAUAGCCUUCCGAAAGGGAGAUUAAUACCUGAUGGUAUUCAAAUUUCGCAUGUUAUUUGAAUUAAAGAUUUAUCGGUAACGGAUGGGGAUGCGUGACAUUAGGUAGAUGGCGGGGUAACGGCCCACCAUGCCUACGAUGUCUAGGGGUUCUGAGAGGAAGGUCCCCCACACUGGAACUGAGACACGGUCCAGACUCCUACGGGAGGCAGCAGUGAGGAAUAUUGGUCAAUGGUCGGAAGACUGAACCAGCCAAGUAGCGUGAAGGAUGAAGGUUCUAUGGAUUGUAAACUUCUUUUAUACGGGAAUAAAACCUCCUACGUGUAGGAGCUUGUAUGUACCGUAUGAAUAAGCAUCGGCUAACUCCGUG